rnacentral:rRNA from 1 species
AUGUCGGCCGCACACCAUUUCCCCCCGCUCACUGCUCGCCUGCCCGUGCCAUCUUGCUUGGUAGCUCGCGCGUACCAUAUCCCCCCGCUCACUGCUCAGCCACACACGCCAUCUUCUUCGCUCACCUGCCCGAAUUCACUUCCCUGCUGGCUCGAAGCAGACGCAAAUGCGCUGGCCUUCACGAUUCCAGGACCUGGAAUCAUACCAGCCGAUGGGUGGUGGUUUAUUGCUCGUUCAGCUGACGUCGGUCAUUUGAUGCUCAUUUUCACGUACCAAAUUGACAGAAACCAUUACAUCAAACCACAUAUAGAUGUACAGAUCAUGAUGAUGGCGAUGCUGUGCAGUUACCAUUUAACUGGAAUUAACCGAUGCAACUCCAAAAAGGAUUGGCCGGUGUUGCCGGCUGGCGUGAAGUUCGAACCUACGGAUCAGGAGCUGAUCGAGCACCUUGAGGCCAAAGUGAGUGUUGACAGUGCGAGAUCUCACUCUCUCAUUGAUUUGUUCAUACCAACCAUCGACAGCGAGCACGGCAUAUGCUACACCCAUCCUAAGAAACUUCCAGGUAUCACACCGAGUGGCCUAAGCAAGCAUUUCUUCCAGCGCAAUUCCAGGGCGUUCAAAAGGGGCACGUGGACGCGUCGCAUGAUACAGUCGGAGUGCGGCAUGCACGGGACGUGGCACAAGACCAGCAAUACCUUGCCGGCGAUGGUCAACGGCCGGCAGACGGGCAUCAAAAAGGUUCUGGUGCUGCACACCAACAGGAACUUCGACUAG